rnacentral:rRNA from 1 species
CCUACGGGGUGCAGCAGUGAGGAAUAUUGGUCAAUGGACGAGAGUCUGAACCAGCCAAGUAGCGUGAAGGAUGACUGCCCUAUGGGUUGUAAACUUCUUUUAUAUGGGAAUAAAAUGUUCCACGUGUGGGAUUUUGUAUGUACCAUAUGAAUAAGGAUCGGCUAACUCCGUGCCAGCAGCCGCGGUAAUACGGAGGAUCCGAGCGUUAUCCGGAUUUAUUGGGUUUAAAGGGAGCGUAGGUGGAUUGUUAAGUCAGUUGUGAAAGUUUGUGGCUCAACCGUAAAAUUGCAGUUGAAACUGGCAGUCUUGAGUACAGUAGAGGUGGGCGGAAUUCGUGGUGUAGCGGUGAAAUGCUUAGAUAUCACGAAGAACUCCGAUUGCGAAGGCAGUUCACUGGACUGCAACUGACACUGAGGCUCGAAAGUGUGGGUAUCAAACAGGAUUAGAUACCCGAGUAGUC